ensembl:lncRNA
GUCUCAGCCAAGGACAGGGCUCUGUGCCAACGUCACAACCAUAUUUGUGCCAAAUGAGACCAGAGGAGGGAUGGUCUGAAGAGGGACGGGUGGCAAAGAAGGAGUCCCGAGAGGUCCAACCCUUCAAGAGGAGGGAGAAAUAUCAAGUGACAAACAGAAGCAAAGAGCUGAAGAGGCGGGUGAUGAAUUUGGGUGAAAACCACAGCAACCAUCGCUCUCUGCAUGUCAGACACUCUCAAGAAUCCCUCUGUGUGGCAGCACGAGGCUCCAUUUUUCCCAGCUCUGAAGUGAAGCAGACAAGGCAGGGAUAACCCUUCAGUCCUGCUCUGCACUUCAACACAAAGAGCGUCAGUGCAGGUUUCUUUCCACAGAAGGAAUGCUAUUGAUUUUUCUUCUGCUGAUCUAAUCUGUCUGGAUUUCCCCUCCGUCAGCUGUGCUCCUGCGUCAUUUGUAGCUCAGCAGAGGCAGUGACGACAAGUGAUGCUGACCCAACUCCAGCUCCAAAACGAACCCAACCCUCGCAGAGCCCUCAGUCUCCCUUUGCAGAGCGAAGCUCUCUGCCUCUUCUGCUGUCAAGUGGGAUUAGAAAAAAAUAUCUUUUUUUUUUUUUCUCCUCUGCGGCCUGUCUGGCUUCAUAAAUCAUUCAUGUAAUUCCUGGCUUCUUCAAGAUGAAGUGGGUUCAGUUUAAAGCCAUUAUUAUUCUCUGUGGGACAGAUCUUCACUAGAUGAAAGAAUGGUUCUUGUUGGCUUUACGCACAGAUUUUGAGGCUGAAAUGGAUAAUUGUGUUUGUGUAAUUGGG